rnacentral:rRNA from 1 species
GCGAGUGAAGCGGGAAGAGCUCAAAUUUGUAAUCUGGCACUUUCAGUGUCCGAGUUGUAAUCUCGAGAAGUGUUUUCCGCGCUGGACCGCAUACAAGUCUGUUGGAAUACAGCGUCAUAGUGGUGAGAACCCCGUAACUGAUGCGGAUGCCCAGUGCUUUGUGAUACACUUUCGAAGAGUCGAGUUGUUUGGGAAUGCAGCUCAAAAUGGGUGGUAAAUUCCAUCUAAAGCUAAAUAUUGGCGAGAGACCGAUAGCGAACAAGUACCGUGAGGGAAAGAUGAAAAGCACCUUGGAAAGGGAGUUAACAGUACGUGAAAUUGUUGGAAGGGAAACGCUUGAAGUCAGACUUGCUAUGUGGAUUUAUUCGCUUCGCAGGCCAGCAUCAGUUUCUGGGGGUGGAAAAGGGUUGGGAGAAUGUAGCAACUCCGGUUGUGUUAUAGCUCCUUUCUGGAUUCAUCUUUGGGGACUGAGGAACGCAGCGCGCUUUUUGCAAGGCUCUCGAGCUUUUCGCGCUUAGGAUGCUGGUGGAAUGGCUUUAAACGACCCG